AGACACGAUACGACAACAAGCCUAAGAUACCACGGAUUCCCCUUCUGCAAACUCAGGACUAAUGGCAUCAGGGUAACAUUGGAAAUUAUGGAAACGUAUUAAGAAUAUUAAACAGUUCCCAUAACUCAUGAUGGAAGAGUGAAUCGACAUGAAUGCAGAGUUGUUCACAUGAUGACGAUGAUGAAGAAGGGAAGGGUGUCAGAAACGUCUCGCUUGACUUGACCGUGGUCUGGCUUGGGGAUUAUCUGUAACGUUUUGGCCAUUGGGGUCUCGAGGGACAUUCAAUUGUUUGUCUUUACCAACAUUUACCACAUUACAUGUG